rnacentral:rRNA from 1 species
CACACCGCCCGUCACAUCACGAAAGUAGGUUGUACUAGAAGUAGGAGGGCUAACUCGCAAGAGGGGCAUCUUACCACGGUAUGAUUUAUGAUUGGGGUG